rnacentral:rRNA from 1 species
UGGGGGAUAUUGCACAAUGGGGGGAACCCUGAUGCAGCAAUGCCGCGUGAGGGAAGAAGGUCUUCGGAUUGUAAACCUAAGUAGCCAGGGACGAUAAUGACGGUACCUGGAGAGUAAGCUCCGGCUAACUACGUGCCAGCAGCCGCGGUAAUACGUAGGGAGCGAGCGUUGUCCGGAUUUACUGGGUGUAAAGGGUGCGUAGGCGGGAUGGCAAGUCAGAUGUGAAAUACCGGGGCUUAACCCCGGGGCUGCAUUUGAAACUGUCGUUCUUGAGUGGAGUAGAGGCAGGCGGAAUUCCUAGUGUAGCGGUGAAAUGCGUAGAUAUUAGGAGGAACACCAGUGGCGAAGGCGGCCUGCUGGGCUUUAACUGACGCUGAGGCACGAAAGCAUGGGGAGCAAACAGG